GCGAGUCGGUGAUGGCGGUGGCGCACAGAGUCUGCUUUGUGGCUGGAUUUUUAUUCAUAUUACUGUUGCCUGGGUACGAAGCAAGAAUACACAAGCUUACAUUGAAGAUCCUCUUGAUGAGACCAGUAUUUCUCAAAAAACGAAAAACCACCACUUUUAUGGAGGACCACAAGAGCCACGCGCAUCGAAAUAAAAAUGUCUGUGCUUAAAUAAUGAAUUGUAGAAUAAAUUCUGCAAUUGUAAAUUCAUUUUUGAAUUCCAAUUUAAUAAACUGCAUUUCAAAAUCCUUUUUCCAAUUGCAUUUCAAAAUCCUUUUUCCAAUUGCACUUUAAUAAACUGCAUUUUAAAAUCCUUUUUCCACCUGCAAUUUAAUAAACUGCAGUUCAAAAUCCUUUUUCCACCUGCAAUUUAAUAAACUGCAGUUCAAAAUCCUUUUUCCACCUGCACUUUAAUAAACUGCAGUUCAAAAUCCUUUUUCCACCUGCACUUUAAUAAACUGCAGUUCAAAAUCCUUUUUCCACCUGCAAUUUAAUAAACUGCAGUUCAAAAUCCUUUUUCCACUUGCAAUUUAAUAAACUGCAGUUCAAAAUCCCUUUUCCACCUGCAAUUUAAUAAACUGCAGUUCAAAAUCCAUUUCCCUUUCCUGUUCGCUCCGGGAUUAGCUGCUGGAUUAGCUCCUGGAUUAGCUGCUGGAUUAGCUCUUCGAUUAACAACUUGCUGGAGGCUAUUCAAAUUAGCCAGACCGUGGGAUGUAAGGAGCUCUCUGAUUGGUUGGUCAGACACAGGCUGUCUGCCAGCCUGGAUUUUUCUAGCUCAUAGCUUCGCCCUGCUAAGAAGCCUGUGUGCUUGUACAAAGGCCGUUCAGCCUCGGGAUUUACACUCGGCUCGACACGGAUAUGUGAAGAAUGAAGGGACCCUGCAGCGAAACGGAGAGCGCAACCUCUGACUGAGUGCCUGUUUACGCAGUCUGACCACCUGUUGAAGGGCUGUUUGAUGACGAUUUGGACUCCUCUGGGAGAUGAGGACACACCCACAUCUGUUCCAUACUGCAGCCAUUGAUGGUGUUACGGCUCUGAGGCAGCUUUGGGCCAUCAGACGCACACACUGGAAAACCAGCACCUGGACUUCAUGCAGGAGAGACGGCCUCAGUGAUGAUGGACUCUGGAUCCUCUACUUUACCUCCUAAUCUCUUUCUCUUUAACACACAAUUAAAAUCACUCCAAAAGAGUGUAAACUUACUGAGGAAGUCUCUAACUUGUACACAUUUGUACUUUUACUUGUUUUAUGAGUUAUUUUUAAGAAGAGUAAAGUUAUUCACAUAAAGUCUUUAUUCUUCUGUAUUUAUUCUU